GACAUAGGUGGCGAACGUUAUCCGGAAUUAUUGGGCGUAAAGAGCUCGUAGGCGGUUUGUCGCGUCUGCUGUGAAAACUCGAGGCUCAACCUCGGGCCUGCAGUGGGUACGGGCAGACUAGAGUGCGGUAGGGGAGACUGGAAUUCCUGGUGUAGCGGUGGAAUGCGCAGAUAUCAGGAGGAACACCGAUGGCGAAGGCAGGUCUCUGGGCCGCAACUGACGCUGAGGAGCGAAAGCAUGGGGAGCGAACAGG
rnacentral:rRNA from 1 species